UAGGGGAAUCUUCCACAAUGGACGAAAGUCUGAUGGAGCAACGCCGCGUGAGUGAAGAAGGGUUUCGGCUCGUAAAACUCUGUUGUUAAAGAAGAACAUAUCUGAGAGUAACUGUUCAGGUAUUGACGGUAUUUAACCAGAAAGCCACGGCUAACUACGUGACAG
rnacentral:rRNA from 1 species